rnacentral:rRNA from 1 species
CUGUGUCGUCUGUCUUACCUGUUAGUCGAGCGGUGCACGAGAGACCUGCUUCUCGUGGACGAGAGUGGGGCAGGGGAGUAAUGUAUGUCGGUCUGCGCCUUAUAGGGGGAGAUCUCCAGUCGACGGAGUGUAUUACCCCGCAUUCUCCCAAGAGCGGAGAGGGGGAACUCCCGUCCUUGCUCUAUCUUAUGAAGCCCUAUGUCGUUAUCUAUAAUUGGGGGUAAUGGCUCACCUAGGCCAACAUCCCUAGCUGGUCUUGAAGAUGAUCCACCAACAUGGGACUGAAACCACGCCCCAAAUCCUACCGGAAGGCACCAUGGGGAAUAUUGGGACAUGGGCGCAAACCUGAUGCCACCAUGCCGGGUGGAUUAAUAAAGCCCUUCGGUUUGUAAGUACUUUUUGUCGGAAGGAAGGCGUUGAUGCUAAUAUCAUCGUACAGUGACGUUACCCACAGAAGAAGCACCGGCUAACUCCGUGCCCACAGCCGCGGUAAUACCGAGGGUGCAAGCGUUAAUCCGAAUUACUGGGCGUAAAGCGCACGUGUAGCGCGUUGAUUAAAUAGAUAUGAAAUCCCCGGGCUUCAACUGUGAAUGUGCAUUUUUACUGGUCAGCUAGAGUCUAUGUCAAAGGGGGUAGAAUUUCCUGUGUGUACGGUGAAAUGCCGUAGAUAUGGGGAGAAAUCCCGUGGCGAAAGCGGGCCCCUGGGAGAUAGAAUGAACGUUAAGACAGAAAGCCUGGGGGAGCCAACAGGAUUUGAUUACCUGGGUAGUCCACCCCGCUAACCGAUUGUCGAUCUAGCUGUGUGCCCGUUGAGCCUGGACUACCGCGAGCUAACGCGGGAAGUCGACCGCCUGGGGAGUACGUCGCAGGUAACUCAAGUGAUGACGGGGACCGCCACAGCGGUGAUGCAUGUGAUAUCCGAUGCAACGGAGACCUAACUACCUGACGGUCGAAUCGACAAGUGCGUAGGUGCCCUCACGA